AUCCAGCUGAGAAGUCCCAACUAGGACGAAACGAGCGUCAAUCUGGAU
rfam:Schistosoma mansoni strain Puerto Rico chromosome 2, complete genome